rnacentral:rRNA from 1 species
UACGGAGGGGGCUAGCGUUGCUCGGAAUCACUGGGCGUAAAGGGUGCGUAGGCGGGUCUUUAAGUCAGGGGUGAAAUCCUGGAGCUCAACUCCAGAACUGCCUUUGAUACUGAGAUCUUGAGUUCGGGAGAGGUGAGUGGAACUGCGAGUGUAGAGGUGAAAAUUCGUAGAUAUUCGGAGGAACACCAGUGGCGAAGGCGGCUCACUGGUCCAUUACUGACGCUGAGGCGCGAAAGCGUGGGGAGCGAACAGG